UUGGCAACUAUACAACCUGAUAAAUGCUGAUAUGUAGUUUCAGGUGGCACACAGACUUAUUAGUUACUUAAUUGUAUUUAGUUAUGUCAUUAUUUCUAGCUUUCUUCAAGACAGGCUGCAUGCCUGUCUCAAUAUGGCUGUUGAGCUGUGUUCUUCAGUGUGUUGUCCUUUUCAUGGUAUUGGUGUGAGAGAGAAAGGGAGGAGUAAAGCAAGCAAAUUUAUACAUUCUCUGUCCAGGCCCUUACACCAAUAGGGCGUUGAGGUACAGAAUGGACUCUAAUUUAAAACAAAUCCCAAACAGCCAUGCUCCAGAACAAUGGGGGCACACAGUACCUUUCACAUUUGCCCCUAAAACUAUUUGUUGAACUGAUGCUUGCCAUCUAGGUAGUUUGGCCUCCUUGUGGGGGUUAAUACUUGCUUUGUUUAUGGCUUUUAGACUCUCAGUCCAAACACAAUUGUUCUUACCAAAGCUGGUCCAAUGUUCCAUCCUAACAAACUGCAUUUUCACACCCGCACCCAAGACCAUUUCAUAAGUUGAACCUGUCCAACUAGGUGGACUUCCUCUCCUACAGAGAAUUACUUGCCAAACCCGUCUGAGGCACUUCCUCCAACUCAGCCAUAAAUUCUUAAGUCAGUCCUAAAGGCUGAAUAAAAUACUAAUAUUACAUUUGCUUUGUCUGACUUACAAAUAAAGACAUAAAAAGUAUUUAUUGACUUAAAUAUUAAAUUUCACACCAUAAAAAAUUGGUAAACACCCAAAGGCCAAAAUCCGAAAGAAACACAGAGGCAAGAAUACUAACUCCAAAUCUCUACCCAACAAUCAUUGUCAAAAUAAUAGGUACAUGUUAUGGCUUCUAAGAUUUUUAAAUCACUAACUACAAACUUCUCAAGAGUUUGUUUUCUUAUCCAAAAACCUGGACAAAGGGGAUAGUAUGCUGGCAUUUUAAAUAGUCCAGUUUUUGUGAUGUUAUGAAUGUCAUCUUUAUUUAACUUAUAUUCUGGCCUUUCAUAAGUUUUAUUCACAUGUUUUCUUUUAGAAAUUGUACUUAUCUCUAUGAAGAGGACUGAGGUUCUGUGAUUAUUCUCUGUCUUUUAGGAUAGAAUUUUUUUUUCCAUUAUUUAUAUUUUCAUUAUUUACUAUCUUUUAGUAAAGAAUUAUGUUCUUCUGUUAUUCAUCUUAUACCACAUCUCUAUUUUGUUUUAAAUCCACACAGUGAUUUUUAUGAAUAUGUUGUUAAGAUGUUAGUCUGGUUGCUGGGGUUGUGUUUUUGUAUGAUGUCAUUAGAGUGACAUAUCAUAUACCAGCACAACAUGUAUUUUGUUAUCCAUGUUUGAGAAAAAAACAUUUUCAGCGUGUCAUGCUAUUAUUUUUUUGAUUUUCUGGUUUUGAUUAACUUGUGUGCCCUUUUUUAAUUUUUUACUUUUGUUUGCUGUUUGCUUAACAGUUUUUGGCUUUGUUAUUUUUGAUCUCUCCAUUAUCUCGCCCAGUAUCGAUGCUCACUUUUAUCUUCAGUGUGGUUUCAGGGAGAUUAAAGGCUUGCAGUGUUAAAAAACAAGCUAAAAUUUAGCAUGUCACAAAUCACAGGGGCCUCAUUUGGCUUUUAAUAUUUUAAUAAUUGGUGUUUUUCAUUUUAAAUACCUUGCUGUUUUUAGCAAGGUGCCUCCAAACUUUAUAUAGCUUAGGGCCUCACCAAUUCUAAAUCUGUCACUGGAGACAUGGGGCUUAAACAGACCCCUUUCAAGACUCAGAACUCAUUUGAUGUGAGGUACAUUUGCUGAAAGAUAGUUCAGUGCUUGUCAAAAUGUUAACCAUAUAAACCAUGUAACUGAUGUGUGAUGUCAUCAAAUUCAAUAAGAUGUAUUGCGUACAGUGUAUUACUAAUUAAAUGAAAUUGUUUUUGCUUCAAUAUCUAAUAUUAUCAGCAGUGUUUACAAUUACCUGGAUUUAUUGCAGUGAUUUGUAGUUCAAAAUUAAAAUAAUGUUUUAAACUUGACUUAUAUUUGUGAUUGUUGUGAAGCUAUAAUCAUCUAGUGUAUACUGAACAGACUGAAUAAUGUCAUUAUUUCUAGGACAACUUUCAACACAAAAACAGGAGUCAGACUUUGUCCUUAGUACAACAAAAUUGAUGAAGAACGCAAGAAAUGAUAACUUAAAUAGUCAGGAUUGCAGGAUGCUGAAGCCUAUCACAGCAGCACUGAGUGCAAAGCAGGAAAUAUCCCAGGGCACCAGCCCAACGUGUGUCCUGUGAUAAGUACAGUAUAGUUGGUUUUUAAUUUUUAAACUUAAGUUUAUUUCAUAGGAAUGUUGCUGUCUGCAUUCAACCAAAGAAUGAAACUUCGCGGUUUGAUUUAGAAAUUUGCUGCAUGUGCAUUUUCACUAAUCAAAUUAAGAUUGCAGGAGCUGAAAAUCUAGUGUUAAAUUACUGCCAAAAGAUUAUGUACAAGUUCAAUGCAUUUGAUUACUUUUCAUUUAAAUACAGUAUAUUUUUGUAUUAAUGUAUUUCAUUACAGCAAUACAUUUUGUAGUCACAUAACUUUUGGCAGUGUUGGUGCAUGGUGGUGCUGCCAAAAGUUCUUGACUCAUCGUAACAAAUUCUGCAAGCAUACAUAUAACAUUUGGAGUGCACAUAAUAUAUGUAGCAAAGUUUUCAGGUCGUAUGAAGUUUGGGAUGAAUUGGAUGUUUUCUAUAAAUAGAAUUCAUAAAAGAUAAAGAUUAAACUCCUGUUUUCCUAACCCAUCUUCCAGUUACAUAAGCACAGUCCCAGUCACUAACACAUUUAACUUUUCCCUGCCUAUUACCAAUCAUGUUGCACAAAGCAAGCUCCUGUUGUAACCUGUUACCAACAAUAUCCGUUGUAACUUUCACACAAAAAAUAUCUUCUUUGCUGUCAUACAUAUAAAACAACACACACACAUUUUCUUUACACUACCAGACUAUACCAUUUUCUAAGCUCACUGAGGGUC